CCUACGGGAGGCAGCAGUGGGGAAUAUUGGGCAAUGGGCGCAAGCCUGACCCAGCAACGCCGCGUGAAGGAAGAAGUCUUUCGGGUUGUAAACUUCUUUUCUCAGGGACGAAGCAAGUGACGGUACAUGAGGAAUAAGCCACGGCUAACUACGUGCCAGCAGCCGCGGUAAUACGUAGGUGGCAAGCGUUAUACGGAUUUACUGGGUGUAAAGGGCGUGUAGGCGGGACUGCAAGUCAGAUGUGAAAACCACGGGCUCAACCUGGGUCCUGCAUUUGAAACUGUAGUUCGUGAGUACUGGAGAGGCAGACGGAAUUCCUAGUGUAGCGGUGAAAUGCGUAGAUAUUAGGAGGAACACCAGUGGCGAAGGCGGUCUGCUGGACAGCAACUGACGCUGAGGCGCGAAAGCGUGGGGAGCAAACAGGAUUAGAUACCCCUGUAGUC
rnacentral:rRNA from 1 species